GACAGUGACAUUUUAUACAUGGAUGCAUACUGUGAAAUAGCAUCAGAAACAUAUUACAUAAAGUCAUUACAUUGUCAACAGAAUUCUCAUCCAUACACAAUCUUGUUUUGUUUAUAGCUAUUCAAAUGAGAAAUCAGAAACCCGAAUAUCCGAGUCAGCAUCAGAAGCAACAUCAUCCACUUCAAACCAAAAUUCUAAGGAAUAAAUGAAUUGAAAAGUGAGGAAAACUAUUUAGGCUUCAUGGCAAUUACAAAGUGAACCUCGAAAUAUUCGAAGAAUGUAUCAGUUGAAGGUCCAAUUGAGCGACCUGAGGUUGUGAUCUACUCGCUGCCCAUACAGGAUAUACACUUACACAGCUCGUGUUGAUUGCUUCUAGCUAUGAUCAGAGCUUUUUAGGUUGCAGUUAUCAGAAUAAAUGCAUAGAUGAUUGUAUAUAUAAUAGGAUAAUACAUUCAGAACAAAAGCUAUGUUCCUUUCUUUGAAGUGUAUCAUACAUCCAUACUUCUGCAUAAAACAAAUUCGUCUCAUGUACUGUGUUGGAAACAUUGUCUUUGGAAUUUCAUUUGCUCCUGUAUUUUAUAAGAAAAAACGGAUAUAAUA